GAUGAACGCUGGCGGUAUGCUUAACACAUGCAAGUCGAACGGACUCUUCGGAGUUAGUGGCGGACGGGUGAGUAACGCGUGAGAAUCUGGCUUUGGGUUCGGGACAACCACUGGAAACGGUGGCUAAUACCGGAUGUGCCGAGAGGUAAAAGAGAAAUUGCCUGAAGAUGAGCUCACGUCUGAUUAGCUAGUUGGUGAGGUAAAGGCUCACCAAGGCAGCGAUCAGUAGCUGGUCUGAGAGGAUGACCAGCCACACUGGGACUGAGACACGGCCCAGACUCCUACGGGAGGCAGCAGUGGGGAAUUUUCCGCAAUGGGCGAAAGCCUGACGGAGCAAUACCGCGUGAGGGAAGAAGGCUCUUGGGUUGUAAACCUCUUUUCUUAGGGAAGAACAAAAUGACGGUACCUAAGGAAUCAGCAUCGGCUAACUCCGUG
rnacentral:rRNA from 1 species